GAAGUACUCCCUCCGUCCGAAAAUACUUGUCAUCAAAUUGGAUAAAAAAGAUGUAUCUAGAACUAAUAUACAUCUAGAUACAUCCCGUUUUAUUCAUUUUGAUGACAAGUAUUUCCGGAUGGAGGGAGUACUAG
rnacentral:pre_miRNA from 1 species